GUCACACUGUAAGCUAACAAUUGCUCUCUGUUGACAUUUGUUUAAUGUUGGAAUGGAUGGUCGAAAGGUAGCCCUACCAUGCCCAUCAUCAUUAGACAACCAAGGAAUGUAGGUGGACUAGGAUAUUUUCCUUCUUUUUUCCAGAUUGAGAAGUGUCCAAGGAUGGCCGGCGGUCAGAGGUCCUGUUGUGUGUCUGUAGAAUCUUACUCAGCAGGUAACACUACUAUACUUUAUCAUAGAUGUAUCCACCAACACUUGUUCCAGGUCAUGUUAAGAUUGUCUACCUUAGCUGACAGAGUAUGUUUUUCUGCAUUGGUUUAUCCCAACUCACAGAAUGUCUUUUUGCACAAUUACCUUUUUUACAUUUAUUAUCUCUACUAUUUUAUUUUAUUUUCCCCUCCCUGAUGACUAUUCCUGUGUUAUUUGUGUCUUGAAAUGUCCAUGUGGGCUUUUGUUUAUUUGGGUAUUUAUGUAAGCUACUGGAUACCUGAAUUUCCCCCUGGGGAUCAAUAAAGUUACUCUACUACUAAUAAUAAUAUACACUUGAAUUGUCACUGAUAAACACUUGAAUUGUACUUUUCUUUUUUACACUGACAUCUACACGUGAAUAUGAAUGCUAAUGUAAUCACUUUUCUUAUUUUGGAUCAACUGCCUGCCAACAGGUGCAGACGGCACUGGGGUCCACGGGUUGUAUAGACAGAUGUACUUCAUGAAAGACUGACUGCUUUGCAGACUCAAGCUACUCUGUCCACUGAGGGAGAUGCAAGAUCUUCAGCCAAUGUUUUCUCAGCUCCAGCCACUGAGUCAGGCACCCCAGGCCCUCAGUCCAGCUUCGGUCCACACCCCUAUUUUUGCAUGUGCCUCUGCUCUGCAGGACCUGACCCCAGAUUCUGAGCAAACGUCACUGUUGGUGGAAGAGCACGAUGAAGUAGAAGUGGCUGCCGCAGAGGAAGAGGAGGGCGUUGACCCCACAGUGCUUGAUAUGGCUCCACCAUCUCCUGAUGACGACACAAUAAGGCACACCUUUGGCUCUUGGCACAGCUCCCAGGCACAUACUUUACUCCUGUACCCUCCACUGCUGCCCAUGACACAAGCUCCAACACUGGCAUGACCUCCAUGACCUCAACCACACUGCUGACCCUGGCACGACCUCCAUCACUGCUGACCCUGGCACGACCUCUACUAACUCCUACCCUGGCACCAUCUCCACCACCGCUGGUACCUCCUCCUCGCGGGUUGCAGGGAUACAGCCUACUGGACCUACUGAAUUGCACAAAACUAUGGCUGUUGAAGACCAGUGUCCAUGAAUACCAGCUCAUUGACAGACUUCCAGAAUAUUUGCUUGGGCUCCUGGAUCAGACAUCUCUUCCUCACUAAUCACAAGGCAAAAUAGUAGCCCUUUGGAAAAGACUGGAUGAACGUGACAAGCGGGUUGCUGUAUGCUGCACGGCACCAAGACAAACUCCUGUGUGGACAUUUUAAAAUGCCAAAGAAGCCUUCAAAGACAUCAGUUGUGGAGAGCACAACCUGUAGCAUCUUGGAUGCAAGCAGUACACCUGUGGCUGGACUGUUGUCAGCUUGUGGAGACAGUUGGUAUUAGACUGUGUGAUGAGCACAGACUAUUUGAAAGGUUGGAUAGUCUCUGUAAUGUUAAUGGGUUUUUUUUGUUGGGCGGGGUCAUUAUUGGGAUUUGAUCUGAUUUUUAUAAUCACGUAAUGGUGCAACAUAUGUCUUAUUUUCUUUUAAAUGGCCUAUGGAUACUUGACCCGGAUUUUCCUCUGUCUGGACCAUGCACAGUGACUUUUUGAGACUCAGACUGUACCUAUGAAACAUGUGAUGGACCACUCUUAUUCUCUCAUCACCAACCUCAGCGGUGUGUGUGUGUGUGUCUGUGUCUGUGUGUCAGUGUUUUAUAUAUGAAUGGUACUGGACACCUUAUUUUCCCUCAGGAUUAAUGGAAAAUGGAAAAUGUUCUGCUCUACUCUAAAGAAGGAAUUAAAGUUGCCAUUGUCAGCUGAUGCUGGCUUUUUUGUUAACAUUAAAUAUGGUUAAAAAAAUAAAAUUUCUACUUAAUUACA